rnacentral:rRNA from 1 species
UACAGAGACCUCAAGCGUUAUCCGGAAUCAUUGGGCGUAAAGCGUACCGAUAGGUGGUUUUGAUAGUUUUGGGAAAAAGCCAGAAGCUCAACUUCUGCGUUUGCUCAAAAUACUUCAAGACUAGAGGGACAAAGAGGUUGCUGGAACAAACGGUGUAGUAGUGAAAUGCGUUGAUAUCGUUUGGAACACCGAAAGCGAAGGCAGGCAACUGGGUGUCACCUGACACUGCUAGGACGAAAGCGUGGGGAGCGAAUGGG